rnacentral:rRNA from 1 species
GCAUCGCGACCCCAGGUCAGGCGGGACUACCCC